AUUUGCAGUCCUGGAUUGGAGUUGUGUUGAAAGUGAGAAACUGGUAGUGAUUGCAUUGCUAUUAGAAGGUUAGACCAUCCCAUGUUUGCCCAGUUAUCAGCUUCUGCCCACAGUGAGCUAACCACGCUGUAAACACAUUUCUUGGCCAUGCUGAAGGGUGGGUGAUAGAAGCAACGUGUUCUCUUGGGCCUCUUCAAAGGCCUUGGAAAAUGGCAGCCUGGGAUGGACUUCUUCAAAGGCCUAUGUGCUGUAACAGCUUGUCCAGUGGGUGUGUCUGUGCCAGAACAGAACAAAUUGUUCUAGAAUAGAAUGUAUUUAACAGGCAUUUCUCAGCACCAGGUGGAGGCUUUCCUGGACUCCAGUUCUAACAUCUAAGUUGCUCAUAGCUAGAGAGGAUAUUUGUAAUUUGAGACAGAAUUUUCCCAUUUCCCAAAGGGCUUUCUUCUCUAUAAAGUAGGACCUAAAUGACUUCCCUUAAAAGACAGAUGAAAUAGUUACCAAUUCUGUGCAAAGGAGGGACCCUGAAAUGCUGGCACAGGGGGUCAGAAGUGAUUGUGCUCCACGGUACAACAGAAUGACAAAAAGCAGUAAAGAAUUAUCCACGUCAGUCUCCAAAUGGCCCCAGAAGGACAGUGGACUGCAAAUGGAAACUGCUCUAAUAGGAACUCUGAGAGGAGAAAAAAAUUUAGCUGUGUCUUCUGUAUAGCAAAUGUGUAAGAGGGUUUAAAGUUGAGAAAGUUGUGGAUCUAAUUUAUUCAGUGUUCCUGGGUUGGAUUGGAUCAGCACAAUGGCAUCUGCAAACAGAGGCAUCUGAAGGCCAUCACCAUCCAUGAAGAAGAACAUAAGAGAACUUGGACUUGAAAAAUUUACCUGCAAGUAGGAAAGACUGUUUAGGAAUGUACAUGUCUCUGUUUUGUGCCAUGCUUGUUUUCAAUAAUUAGAGCAGAAAUACUUAACCUGGAGUCCACAGAGCUCCCAAAGAACUCAUGGGUUGUUUCAAGGGGCCUCAAUUAAUGAGGAAAAUAAGUUUAUAUCUUUAUUUUCACCAACCUUUGGUUUCUUUAUGAUGUUAUGUAUUUUAUUUUAUGUAUUUAACAAAAUUUUUCUGAGAAAGAGUAAUUAGGCCUCCAGAGACUCCCAAAGGGGUCCACAACACACCAAAAAAUUAAGAACCUUUGAAUGAGAGGAUUAAUGAACAAAAUUCUUUGUUGUCACAUCUAUUAAAGAGUCUUAUGUUAUUUUAA